CUCUCUCUUUUGCCCCAAUCUUCUGCUCUUCCACCAAGAAGGCUCGUAUAUGGUUCUUUCCCUAUUAGCACCUAUGGACAAUACCCCACCAUAAGCGUGAUUGAAGGGGCGAUUGCUAGCAUGAUUGAACACCUUGAUUCUUGGACGCAGUAGCCAUGAUCAAUUCGGUGCCAGAUCUAAAGUGAGAGGAGUUGGAAAGGGAAUUCAUGCCAACCAGAGAGAGGCCCUUGAAAUCAUUAUAAGGUUAAAAAUAUUGGAUUAACUAUUAUAGAAAGUCUUUAAUCAAGUUUUUGAGCAUCGAAGAAGGAAGCAGUGGAGGCAUUCGGUAGAUUGAUAGUUGUGAAGAGAGACGCCAUGACGAAAUUCAAGAACGAUCCUUGAAAGAUUUUUAGAAUAAAAAAUUUGAUAAAGUUAGAUUUUUACUUAUCACAUGAUCUACUCUACCUGCACUUAUGCCGGAUUAAUUAUUAUGGAAAGUUUUUUGUCGAGUCUUUUAGCAGCAAUAACAGGCAGCGAGGAAGUAACAUGGGAGGUGCUUGGAUGUUUGGUGGUUACAGAAAGACAUGCCAUGGUGAAGUUCAAGGGUGGAUGCUUGAAAGAUCUUAAGAAUAAAAAAGGGAAGGUUGCAAGAAAAGGGAUGAAUUACCUUGUACAAGUGAAGGCUACAAGAAAAGUAAUGAAUCAUCACUUCCUUGACCUCAAGUUUCUUCAGCAGGUAGUUGGUGUUACUUUCUUAUUUCAAGGUUUAAUAGAUUAUCUCUGGAUGAUGGAUUUUCAAGAGCCACUUGAUUUAUUAUGGUAAAAUAAUGUAUUUUGAAAUGGAGAUUUCUUGUUGAUUGAAUGCU
rnacentral:lncRNA from 1 species